CUAUUUCUGGUUCUAGUCAGUGAACGUGAGUAUCUAAACCACCAGCUGUAUAAAUUUUACCCUCACCAGCUGAAAUUUCAGUUGAGAUACCCACAAUCAUAUCAACAUUAUCUGUUAAAUGUGGAUUUCCAGAUUUACCAAUCGCAGCAAUUUUUCCAUUUUUAAUACCAAUAUCUGCUUUAUAAAUACCUGUAUAAUCAACAAUUAGUGCAUUUGUAAUAACUAAAUCCAUUACUUCAGCAUUACCUAAUUUAUCAUCUAACUUCAUAG
rnacentral:sRNA from 1 species